AUUGAACGCUGGCGGCAGGCCUAACACAUGCAAGUCGAACGAGUGGCGGACGGGUGCGUAAUGUCUGGGAAACUGCCUGAUGGAGGGGGAUAACUACUGGAAACGGUAGCUAAUACCGCAUACCAUCAGAUGUGCCCAGGUGGGAUUAGCGUGUUGGUGGGGUAACGGCGCACCAAGGCGACGAUCCCUAGCUGGUCUGAGAGGAUGACCAGCCACAUGGGAACUGAGACACGGUCCAUACGCCUACGGGAGGCAGCAGUGGGGAAUAGUGCACAAUGGGCGCAAGCCUGAUGCAGCCAUGCCGCGUGUAUUAAGAAGGCCUUCGGGGUGUAAAGUACUUUCAGCGGGGCGGCGUUACCCGCAGAAGAAGCACCGGCUAACUCCGUGCCAGCAGCCGCGGUAAUUC
rnacentral:rRNA from 1 species